CACGUAGGGGGCAAGCGUUGUCCGGAAUCAUUGGGCGUAAAGAGCUCGUAGGCGGCUCAGUAAGUCGGGUGUGAAACCUCCAGGCUCAACCUGGAGACGCCACCCGAUACUGCUGUGGCUAGAGUCCAGUAGGGGAGUGUGGAAUUCCCGGUGUAGCGGUGAAAUGCGCAGAUAUCGGGAGGAACACCAGUGGCGAAGGCGGCACUCUGGGCCAGUACUGACACUGAGGAGCGAAAGCGUGGGGAGCGAACAGG
rnacentral:rRNA from 1 species